GGAGACACAGUCCACAGGCUGUCUGUAGAUGGUCUGAACUAUCCAUCGUUUCAUUUUCAUUAGAGAGGCUGAGUCUAUCCCAUCUGACUGAGGACAGGAAACAGCCUGUCACAGGUUCACCUGGACAGGAAACAGCCUGUCACAGGUUCACCUGGACAGGAAACAGCCUGUCACAGGUUCACCUGGACAGGAAACAGCCUGUCACAGGUUCACCUGGACAGGAAACAGCCUGUCACAGGUUCACCUGGACAGGAAACAGCCUGUCACAGGUUCACCUGGACAGGAAACAGCCUGUCACAGGUUCACCUGGACAGGAAACAGCCUGUCACAGGUUCACCUGGACAGGUAACAGCCUGUCACAGGUUCACCUGGACAGGAAACAGCCUGUCACAGGUUCACCUGGACAGGUAACAGCCUGUCACAGGUUCACCUGGACAGGUAACAGCCUGUCACAGGGCUACACAUAGAGACAAACAAUCACACCUACAGACAGUUCAGAAUCACCAGUUAACCUCAGCAUGUUUGUGACUGUGGGAGGAAGCUGGAGAACCUGGAGAAAACCCACACAUGUACAGGAGAACAUGGAGACUCCAUGCUGGGAUUUGGUCCUGGGAUCUUCUAGCUGUGAGGCGACCGUUCUUACCACUGAGCCACUGAGCAGCUCUGGUCUGAACUAAUGUGUCUGAACUUCACAGACUGCUGCUGUAUUCAGACUUACACUCCUCUCAGACAGCUGUCAGUCCUGUCUGCAGACGUUACAGAUGAAUUAUUUAGUCAGAACUUUAUUGAUCCACUGAUGGAAGCUGCAGAGUUCAAGCAGCAGAAACACACAAAACUCUGUUCAAGAUGAAACUAAACAGGAUGCUAAAAAAAGGCUUUAGAAUAAGAUUAGUUUUUAAAUGAAAGUUGAAAGUGAAGCUAUGUCUCGUCACCGUGCACAGAAAGAAGUCCGUGCACAGCAAUACUGUGGAUCCUGCUACAGAUGAAGAUGUGAUCAGCAGGACAUGCAGAGGAUGUGAGGAGCUGUCUGACAUGCUGUCUUCCCUCCCAUUAUUCAUCCAUUCACUGCUGCCAGCAGCGUGAUCCAAUGAAAACAUGAACCAAUAAUGCAGACGCUGAUGGAGGUCAGAAGAUGUUGUGCAGACCGGCUGUAGUAGCUGCUCCACCACAUGGAGCCUCCUGAAGUCUGUUUGCUCACCUUUAAACACAGACUCUAACAUCUGCUGUUAGAAGCUUUGGGUUCAUCCUUUGCUCAGACAGGAAGUUCUGACAGCAGCUGGUCCUUCAAGACGUUCUACCCCAACAGCAAAAACUGGAUUUCUGGUUCCUUAAGUGUGUUUUUUAAAGGCCAGAAGCUUGAUCUAACAUUUCAGUACAGCGAGCAGAGCAGACAGAUGUGUUCUUUAAACACAUGUAUGUUAUAACUGGUCCUAGUGGGAUAAAAACAGGAUCUACUUUCAUCUGUCUGCUUAGAAAGGUGAGCAACUUCAGAGCAGCAGAAAUAAAAAUCCAAAGUGACGUUUCUUAACUGUGACUGCUCCUAAAUAAAACGGUAUGAGGUGC